rnacentral:tRNA from 1 species
GGAGAGGUGGCAGAGUGGUCGAAUGCGGCGGUCUUGAAAACCGUUAGCCUGAAUAAGGCUCAAGGGUUCGAAUCCCUUCCUCUCCU